CAGGACAGUAGUAGUUAAUUUUGCAAAAAAUCAGUAUUUUAAGAUACUAAUAAGAUAUUAAUAUUUUAAUACUUUAGUAGUGCAACAAGAGCAAGUCGGUCCCCAAAAGUUCUGUGACUGAGAGUAAGUUCUAUUACAUUCUACAUAAUUAUUGUUUAAAUACAGGUCUGCAAGCCUACUAAGUGAAGAAUGCUAAGAAUGCUAAGUCCAAAGACAUUAUUAUUCACUCAGCUGAAAAAAUCCAGCAUUAGUAAAUGAACCUGGAGCAGCUUCAGUUGUGAUGGUGCCA
rnacentral:lncRNA from 1 species